AUUACCAUCACUGCCCGCAUUGCUAUCAGUGCCACCAUUACCAUCAUUGCCAUCAUUGCCAUCAGUGCCCUCAUUGCUAUCAGUGCCAUCAUUACCAUCAUUGCCAUCAUUACCAUCAGUGCCAUCAUUACCAUCACUGCCCUCAUUGCUAUCAGUGCCAUCAUUACCAUCAGUGCCCUCAUUGCUAUCAGUGCCACCAUUACCAUCAUUGCCAUCAUUGCCAUCAGUGCCCUCAUUGCUAUCAGUGCCAUCAUUACCAUCAUUGUCCCCAUUGUCCCCAUUGUCCCCAUUGCCCACAUUGCCCGCAUUGCCCUCACUGCUAUCAGUGCCACCAUUACCAUCAUUGCCAUCAUUACCAUCAUUGCCCCCAUUGCUAUCAGUGCCACCAUUACCAUCAUUGCCAUCAUUACCAUCACUGCCCGCAUUGCUAUCAGUGCCACCAUUACCAUCAUUGCCCCCAUUGCUAUCAGUGCCAUCAGUGCCAUCGCUGCCCGCACUGCUAUCAGUGCCGUCAUUACCAUCACUGCUAUCAGUGCCAUCAUUACCAUCACUGCUAUCAGUGCUAUCAUUGCCAUCAGUGCCCGCACUGCUAUCAGUGCCGUCAUUACCUCAGAGCCGCCGUGUCUGAGUGGCACCGCCGUGUCUGAGUGGCACCGCCGUUAUCUGAGUGGCACCGCCGUGUCUGAGUGGCACCGCCGUGUCUGAGUGGCACCGCCGUUAUCUGAGUGGCACCGCCGUUAUCUGAGUGGCACCGCUGUGUCUGAGUGGCACCGCCGUGUCUGAGUGGCACCGCCGUUAUCUGAGUGGCACCGCUGUGUCUGAGUGGCACCGCCGUGUCUGAGUGGCACCGCCGUUAUCUGAUGGCACCGCCGUUAUCUGAGUGGCACCGCCGUUAUCUGAGUGGCACCGCCGUUAUCUGAGUGGCACCGCCGUGUCUGAGUGGCACCGCCGUUAUCUGAGUGGCACCGCCGUUAUCUGAUGGCACCGCUGUGUCUGAGUGGCACCGCCGUUAUCUGAGUGGCACCGCCGUUAUCUGAGUGGCACCGCCGUUAUCUGAGUGGCACCGCUGUGUCUGAGUGGCACCGCCGUGUCUGAGUGGCACCGCCGUGUCUGAGUGGCACCGCCGUUAUCUGAGUGGCACCGCCGUUAUCUGAGUGGCACCGCUGUGUCUGAGUGGCACCGCCGUUAUCUG
ensembl:lncRNA